rnacentral:ncRNA from 1 species
AUGGAGUUUAGAACCUCCUUUAAACACAAAGGCUUGGUCCCGACCUUAAAAUCAAUUAUUACCCAACUUACACAUGCAAGUCUCCGCGCUCCCGUGAAAACGCCCUUAAACCCCUUAACUAGGAAAAGGAGCCGGUAUCAGGCGCAAUAAUUUGCCCACGACACCUAGCAACGCCACACCCACAAGGGUCUUCAGCAGUGAUAAACAUUGAACAUAAGUGACAACUUGAUUCAGUUACGGUAAACAGAGUCGGCCAAUCUGGUGCCAGCUGCCGCGGUUACACCACAGGACUCAAAUUGAUUUUCAUCGGCAUAAAAUGUGAUUUAAACCUCAAUAACCACUAGAGUUGAACCUAUAUUAAGUUGUAAAAAGCUAAUUAUAAGAAGAUCAUAUACGAAAGUUACUCUAUUUAUCCUUGAACUCACGAAAAUUUGGGCCCAAACUAGGAUUUGAUACCCUACUAUGCCAAAUAGUAAACUUUAACUUACACCUAAAUCGCCAGGGUACUACGAGCUAAGCUUAAAACCCAAAGGACUUGACGGUGCCCCAUACCCCCCUAGAGGAGCCUGUCCUGUAAUCGAUGACCCUCGUUCAACCUCACCACUCUUAGCAUAUCAGCUUGUAUACUUCCGUCGUCAGUCUACCGCAUGAGCGAUCCCCAGUAGACCAAAUGUUCAACCGCCAAUACGUCAGGUCAAAGUGCAGCAAAUAGAGUGGAUAAGAGAUGGGCUACACUUUCUAUCUUAGAAAACACGAAAGAUUAAGUGAAACCUUAGUCAGAAGGCGGAUUUAGUAGUAAAAAGAAGGCAGAGUACUCUUUUUAACCUGGUACUGGAGUGCGUACACACCGCCCGUCACCCUCUUCGUAAGAUAAAAAUCUAGUAAAUAACAAAACUUAACUAAGCAGAAGAGGUAAGUCGUAACAUGGUAAGUGUACCGGAAGGUGUACUUGGAAACGAAAUAUAGCUUAACCAAAGCCU